UCUAUUUCUCUCUCAGACUCCAAAAAAACAAAAUCAGAGAAACAUUUCCCUCAUGUCUUUUCCUCUGUCAUGCCUCAUCAGCACCACCAUCAUCAUCAUCAAUAAACCAAUCUUUUCCUCUCUCACGCUAGAUGUUCAAGGAACGCAAUGAACAACGUUUAACACCUUCAUCUACUUCUCUCUGCCUCUCGUGUCCUCUCACUCUCUCAACUCCAAUUUCACUCUCAAUUCUUAGUUGCAUGUGUUGUUCAUCCAAUCAUAAGGAUAUGGACCAUUGGAAUUCUAAGGUAAGAGUAGUAAUUUCAGUUUCAUUCCUCUUUCCCUUUUAUGAACCCUAAACUCAUUUGUGAUUUUGACCCAUUGAGGUGUAUGCAUGUUUGUAAUUCUGGUCUUGGAGCACUUGUGAGGAAUUAAGGACAGUUGUUGGAACAAGGAAACAAGAACAUUGGAAAUAUUUAUGGAAAUUCGUAUGCUGGAUGUACCCUCACUAAAAUGGUCAUACCUCUCCCUGUGUUAGUCCAAAUUUAACCAUUCUUGAUGUUCUGGAUAGCUAACAUAAUCUCGGUCGUUUAGGUACUAGCCUAGUGAGAUUUAAUGGAGAAAUGAGGUCUCUGCGAAUUUUUGAAGUGAAAGGUUCAACACUGAAUUUAUGCAGAAAGUGUUUAGGAUUGGGCUGCACUCAAACAGUUUCGAUUUAUUCUGAUUGCUAUGGAAAGCUAACUUAAAUAUGGUCGUUAUGGUCCCGGUUUCAUAAUUUAUGGACGAGAAUUGUGGCUAGUAGGUAUUUUUGAAGUUGGAACUCUGAUGCUGAAGUUAUGCAGAAAAAUCUGCAUACGAGUUUGAAGUAGUUUCAUUGCAAAUUCCGCUUUUCGGCGAGUUUCAGAAAUGUCGGUGGUACUGUUCAAGCGUCAAUUACAGGUUGAUCGAGAUUUUAUGAUCUGCGAGCAUGGAGUUCAAAUACUUGGAUUAUGCUAGUUGAACUGACGUCAUGUUAUCUUAUAUUUUGUAUAAGAUUUAGUUUCUUUAUGUUUUCAAUUGUUAGCUCAAUUUAGUAUUAAUCUCUUAGAUUUUGUAAUCUUAUUUAUGUAUUCGAAUGAUAUGUAAUGAAAAUUUAAUGUUUCAGAUUCAGUUAUGUACACUCUUGUCGAUAUUCUAGAUAAAUUGACAUGGGGUGUUAUAAUCCGCCUAUGUUUUGGAAA